rnacentral:tRNA from 1 species
AGGGAUAUAACUCAGUGGUAGAGUACUUGCCUAGCAUGCAUGAGGCCCUAGGUUCAAUCCCCAAUACCACAA